UGGGAGAAUUAUUGGGGGAACAGAGAGAAAUAAACCUUUGCUCUGUGUAUGCUGGCACAUUUCUGAUCCACGUCUAAACAUAAUUUUAAUUUUCAUUCCUUCCCACAGAAUUCCUUCCCUCAAUGCAUCUAUGAAUGUUUCUCUGGAAGAAAACUCGAAGGUCCUUUCAGCAGCAAAGCAAAUAAACCCUCUGCAUUACAUUUAUCUGCCCUUGCUGUGUCGGUUACCAUCCAGGGAGGUUUAUCAAGGAGCAAACAGGGCACACACACAGCGCCUGGUCCUGCAGCACCCAUCCCACAAACUCUGCUUGGUGAGCCCAGGACCGCUCGCACCGAUACCAUCACUCCCCACCGAUACCGACACUUCAGCCCGUCUAUCCGAAUUCCAGAGCUCUUCCUCCUACCCAGCCCCUGUGCCUCCGGAGAAAACCCAGCAUCACCACCCUGCCAGCCCUCCCCACGGCCCCUAAGGCACCGCACCCGCUCUGCAGAGCUCUCGGGGACUUUCUGCGCUCCCUGCUGCGGCUCCGGCUCCCUUUGAAAGCAAGCGGCUUCGCGUGUGACUCUGCAAUCUGAGAAUGUGAACCAGCCGGCAGGACACCGGGGGUCCCGCUACAGGCACUGCUGGAAAGGGGGCAGAAGCCAGCGUGUAUCUCUUUAAGAAGGAAGGAAGAAAAAGGUCUUUGUUUAUAUUGCAAUAUCUGAGAAAUUGUUUUGUGACACUGUUAU